rnacentral:rRNA from 1 species
AUACGUAGGGGGCGAGCGUUGUCCGGAAUUACUGGGCGUAAAGAGCUCGUAGGUGGUUUGUCGCGUCGUCUGUGAAAUUCCGGGGCUUAACUUCGGGCGUGCAGGCGAUACGGGAAUAACUUGAGUACUGUAGGGGAGACUGGAAUUCCUGGGGUAGCGGUGAAAUGCGCAGAUAUCAGGAGGAACACCGGUGGCGAAGGGGGGUCUCUGGGCAGUAACUGACGCUGAGGAGGGAAAGCAUGGUUAGCGAACAGGAUUAGAUGCCCUGGUAGUCCAUGCCGUAAACGGUGGGCGCUAGGUGUAGGGGUCUUCCACGACUUCUGUGCCGUAGCUAACGCAUUAAGCGCCCCGCCUGGGGAGUACGGCCGCAAGGCUAAAACUCAAAUGAAUUGACGGGG